rnacentral:rRNA from 1 species
CACCGCGGUUAUACGAGAGGCCCAAGUUGACAGACAACGGCGUAAAGAGUGGUUAGGGAUAAUUUAAACUAAAGCCGAAUAUUUCCAGGACUGUUAUACGUUUCCGGAAGAACGAAGCCCAACUACGAAAGUGGCUUUAUAAAACCUGAACCCACGAAAGCUAAGAAA